AUUGAACGCUGGCGGCAGGCCUAACACAUGCAAGUCGAACGAGUGGCGGACGGGUGAGUAAUGUCUGGGAAACUGCCUGAUGGAGGGGGAUAACUACUGGAAACGGUAGCUAAUACCGCAUACCAUGGAUUGGGCCCGGCUGGGAUUAGCUAGUAGUGGGGGUAACGGCUCACCUAGGCGAGAAUCCCUAGCUGGUCUGAGAGGAUGACCAGCCACACUGGAACUGAGACACGGUCCAGACUCCUACGGGAGGCAGCAGUGGGGAAUAUUGCACAAUGGGCGCAAGCCUGAUGCAGCCAUGCCGCGUGUAUGAAGAAGGCCUUCGGGUUGUAAAGUACUUUCAGCGGGGAGGCGUUACCCGCAGAAGAAGCACCGGCUAACUCCGUGCCAGCAGCCGCGGUAAUUC
rnacentral:rRNA from 1 species